UGAUCCCGUGUGGGUGCUACAUGAAUGCCAUGUUCCUUUGCAAAUAGGCAUUUCAUCCAUCUUUGAAAGUAUAUUUCUUUGGGAGUCCAUGGUCUCCUUCUUACUAGAUUUCUCUCAUCAAUGACCAUAACGAAGCAUUUCUAAUAAAUUUGGUCCCUGCCCUACGGACUGUGAUCUCAAUCUCUUAAAAGAAGACCGUGAAUUACACAAGAAGAGAGAAAGCCUGAUAAAUUACUCAGUGAAGGAAAAAUCAGCUGCUUGGAGAACUGGAGAACUUGAGGAUUAUUCAGAGGAUGUAUCUUACUUGGAGGAACUGGAGAAACACAGAUUUUC